rnacentral:snRNA from 1 species
AAUUAGUGUUUCGGUCUUUUCCG